rnacentral:rRNA from 1 species
UACGUAGGCAGCAAGCGUUGUUCGGAAUUACUGGGCGUAAAGAGUGUGUAGGUGGUGUCGUAAGUUUGGUGUAAAAAUCUCCCGGCUUACUGGGAGGGUGCGCCGAAGACUGCGAUGCUGGAGUAUGGGAGAGGAAAGCGGAAUUCCUGGUGUAGCGGUGAAAUGCGUAGAUAUCAGGAGGAACACCUGCGGUGUAGACGGCUUUCUGGACCAUUACUGACACUGAGACACGAAAGCGUGGGUAGCAAACAGG